rnacentral:rRNA from 1 species
UACGAAGGGGGCUAGCGUUGCUCGGAAUCACUGGGCGUAAAGGGUGCGUAGGCGGGUCUUUAAGUCAGGGGUGAAAUCCUGGAGCUCAACUCCAGAACUGCCUUUGAUACUGAGGAUCUUGAGUUCGGGAGAGGUGAGUGGAACUGCGAGUGUAGAGGUGAAAUUCGUAGAUAUUCGGAAGAACACCAGUGGCGAAGGCGGCUCACUGGCUCGAUACUGACGCUGAGGUGCGAAAGCGUGGGGAGCAAACAGG